rnacentral:rRNA from 1 species
UGGGGAAUAUUGCACAAUGGGCGCAAGCCUGAUGCAGCCAUGCCGCGUGUGUGAAGAAGGCCUUCGGGUUGUAAAGCACUUUCAGCGAGGAGGAAGGUGGUGAGCUUAAUACGCUCAUCAAUUGACGUUACUCGCAGAAGAAGCACCGGCUAACUCCGUGCCAGCAGCCGCGGUAAUACGGAGGGUGCAAGCGUUAAUCGGAAUUACUGGGCGUAAAGCGCACGCAGGCGGUUUGUUAAGUCAGAUGUGAAAUCCCCCGGGCUCAACCUGGGAACUGCAUUUGAAACUGGCAAGCUAGAGUCUCGUAGAGGGGGGUAGAAUUCCAGGUGUAGCGGUGAAAUGCGUAGAGAUCUGGAGGAAUACCGGUGGCGAAGGCGGCCCCCCUGGACGAAGACUGACGCUCAGGUGCGAAAAGCGUGGGGCAGCAAACAGGAUUAGAUACCCUGGUAGUCCACGCUGUAAACGAUGUCGAUUUUGGAGGUUGUGCCCCUUGAGGCGUGGCUUCCGGAGCUAACGCGUUAAAUCGACCGCCUGGGGAGUACGGCCGCAAGGUUAAAACUAAAUGAAUUG